AGAGAAGGAUCACCAGCUCCAUACAGCUGUAGCUGUGACGUCUUCCCUUAACGCCGGCACAGAGCAGCUGUUAACGUUACCUUGAAAUCUUCAGUGAAUAACUGAAAAAGAUAACGGUUUUUUAUUUAAACUCUACUACAUGCGCGAGGAGCUCCUCACACUUGCCUUCAGUUCACAUCUGCGCUGAGGUUGCAUGGUCCAGGUUUUCAAGAAUGAGUUCACUACGGAUGAGCUGCACACGUCUCCAGUGAAUUUUGAAUUUUACAUGGUGAUCAGCUGCAUCCUAUUAUCAUCAGCUUUCCUGCUACUGCCAUGGGGAUUACUCUUAAAGUUUCAAACUAAGUAUGAUAUAGUUGUGUUCAUUGAACUAAGAGUUUAUAGCAAACAAUUAUAUUGUGCCCAUAUCAAUAUAUAAAUACAUAUGUGUACUUUGUAGCUGUACACUUUUAAAGAUUAUGGCUUACAAAUUAAACUGUCCAUCAUUAUCAAUUACCAGAUAUUAUUUUCCAACAAGAGAGCCACUGUUGGCUGAACCUUUUUUUUUUGAUAGACUAGUAUUCUGAACCUAUAUACCUAUAUAAUAUUCUCUCUCCUUCCACCAUGUCAAAAACUGUAUAUAAACAGUAAAUUCCGAUGUCGACAGUGUGUAUGUAUGUAGUGUGUGUUGGGGCAACAAAUAUGUGAAAAUGCCCAGCAGUGCGUCCUCAGAAGCAAGAUAAGUAAGCAUGUUAAUUAAAUUUAAUUGAGUUGGGUUUAUUUAUUCAUAAUACAUAAACAAUUUUGUUUUUGCACACAUUAAACUUAUGGUGUCAAAAUAUAUAAUGCAUGUCCUAUAAUAAAAUAAUUUAUCCAUA